CAACUAAAGAUUAACCAUGUAGUUCAAGUCUCUCAAUCCAAAAAUACAACCAAAGUUUCACCAAAUCCUCAACUAGAAAAAAGGUUUCAGCCACUCAUGGCUGAAACAAAAACUAAAAAUAAAGAAAGGAAGAAAAAGAGAAGAUGUCACUUGCAAUCCCGUAGGUGUCUCCCAAGGGGAGUGUAAAGACCAUGUAGAGGCUUCUUAUGUGGCUUUUUAUAGUUGAAAAGUGUUGCCCUAGGUCAUACUUACUGUCCAAGAGGUAUUUUCUGCCCAAGAUGUGUCUGAAAAGGAAA
rnacentral:lncRNA from 1 species